GACCUAAUCACCUGUUGCGCAUCCGUAAAUAGAUAUAGCUCAAGAUCCACUAAGAAGAACCAAGAAAAUGUUACAACAUGUAUGAAGAAACAGAAAAUUUAUUCGAUAUCUCUCUAGCCUCUUUACAGUAAGAAAUUCCAAAGAUCAACCUCAACAAUAAAAGCACUCAACUCUCAUUUACAUGACAUAAGCAAGAUUCACCACUAAGAUAGAUUUCAAAUUUACAGAAGAAAGAAAAACGGCAAACCCUAACUACACUCAGAGAAAGGAAAAGAUAGAGACCAAACAAAAGUAGGAUACUUUUAAAAUUAUCCCUUGUAAAUUUUCACAAAGAUCUAAUAUUUAGUUUGACUAAACUUCAAAACAAGAAAAUACGACUUGCCAAAAAAAAGAGAGAGAGAGCGCUUUAGAUGGUCAACAAAGAAUUAACGAUCUUUUUAUCUACCUAGGCUACACAGAACAUUUAAGCUUAGGCAUGCUUAAGCGAUGCCUUGGACAUGUCUUUUAAAAUGAAAUUCUUACCUUUUGCUACCUAUGAUU
rnacentral:lncRNA from 1 species